GCCCUGGUAGCUCAAUGGACAGAGCAACGGCCUUCUAAGCCGCAGGUUGCAGGUUCGAAUCCUGUCCAGGGCG
rnacentral:tRNA from 1 species